rnacentral:lncRNA from 1 species
UCGCCAUCCCUAGGCUUAAAUGUCUCUAAACCCUCCCACCUGAUAAAGAAAUAUGUUCAAGAGCAGGGUGGAAGAACAGAAAAAGGUUGUUAUAGCUCUUUAUUGAACAAACAAAUGAACAAAUGGUUCACAUUGACACUUGACCAAAACUCUAAUGGGUUGAUUGACACAAAUAGAAGUAAAAGGUGCAAGAGAAUUUUGGUGAAAAUGCAAGGGUAAAAAUGUAAUCCACCCUAAAUUAUAUACGAUUGACACAAUUGGAAGUAAAAGGUGCAAGGGAAUUUCGGUGAAAGUGCAGGGGUAAAAAUGUAAUCCACCCUAAAUUAUAUACGCCAAAAUGAAUGAAUAAACAAAUGUAGCAAAUAAUAACGUUAGUGAAAGGGCAACUCACAACUGUAUUUAAUUAAAGAUGAGAGGAGGAGGAGGAGGAGGACAUUUAAUGGUGAAAUCAGAAAUUGAAUGUUUAUGGUUGGUGAUGCAAUAAAUGGCCGUCCGAUCACGUUAUCCCGUGAUCUGAUCACGUCCAUCCAUCAGUAUGCAGACAGUUCACUAAAUUAUUAACCAACCCCUGCGUGCAUUACAAUCAGGAGGCGCGUGAACUUUAUAAAGGACCAGCUUUAUACAUUUUGCAAUAAUCAUUUUUAUCAGUACUUUUUGCUUUUUGCAUUAUGGCUAAUCGUGGUGAGUGCUACAACAGUGCUACAGUUCUUGAAUUUAGAUCAAAAAUAAAAAUUUAAAUUCAAAACGAAUGGUUCAAAUUUACUUACGUGUGUAGGGGAUCGUAAAAAAAAAAAUACGAUUACACACUAAAAAAUUCCUUAAAAAUGAAAAGAAAUAUUAAUUUCUCUUUUACCCCUCUGAAAAGUUUUACAAGAAUGGUAAAAACAAUUCAUACUUUUGAUUUGGACAAGUGACAUUGUGCCCACUUUCUAUUUUUAUAUAUUGUGUCACUUUUAAUAGGUUCUUGACAGGGACAGACGAAGUAUUUAAUCUUUGAGGCAAAUGUACAUACAAAAUUUAAAAUUUAUAAUCUAUGUAAGAAACACAACAUUUAUCUU